UCGGAUUAGCUAGAUGGUGGGGUAAAGGCCUACCAUGGCGACGAUCUGUAGCUGGUCUGAGAGGAUGAUCAGCCACACCGGGACUGAGACACGGCCCGGACUCCUACGGGAGGCAGCAGUGGGGAAUAUUGGACAAUGGGGGGAACCCUGAUCCAGCCAUGCCGCGUGUGUGAAGAAGGCCUUUUGGUUGUAAAGCACUUUAAGCAGUGAAGAAGACUCUUCGGUUAAUACCCGGGGACGAUGACAUUAGCUGCAGAAUAAGCACCGGCUAACUCUGUGCCAGCAGCCGCGGUAAUACAGAGGGUGCAAGCGUUAAUCGGAAUUACUGGGCGUAAAGCGAGCGUAGGUGGCUUGAUAAGUCAGAUGUGAAAUCCCCGGGCUUAACCUGGGAACUGCAUCUGAAACUGUUAGGCUAGAGUAGGUGAGAGGGAAGUAGAAUUUCAGGUGUAGCGGUGAAAUGCGUAGAGAUCUGAAGGAAUACCGAUGGCGAAGGCAGCUUCCUGGCAUCAUACUGACACUGAGGCUCGAAAGCGUGGGUAGCAAACAGGAUUAGAUACCCUGGUAGUCCACGCCGUAAACGAUGUCUACUAGUCGUUGGGUCCCUUGAGGACUUAGUGACGCAGCUAACGCAAUAAGUAGACCGCCUGGGGAGUACGGCCGCAAGGUUAAAACUCAAAUGAAUUGACGGGGGCCCGCACAAGCGGUGGAGCAUGUGGUUUAAUUCGAUGCAACGCGAAGAACCUUACCUGGUCUU
rnacentral:rRNA from 1 species